rnacentral:rRNA from 1 species
CAGUAGCCGCGGUAAUACAGAGGGUGCGAGCGUUAAUCGGAUUUACUGGGCGUAAAGCGUGCGUAGGCGGCUUCUUAAGUCGGAUGUGAAAUCCCUGAGCUUAACUUAGGAAUUGCAUUCGAUACUGGGAAGCUAGAGUAUGGGAGAGGAUGGUAGAAUUCCAGGUGUAGCGGUGAAAUGCGUAGAGAUCUGGAGGAAUACCGAUGGCGAAGGCAGCCAUCUGGCCUAAUACUGACUCUGAGGUACGAAAGCAUGGGGAGCAAACAGGAUUAGAUACCCGCGUAGUCCCUGUCUCUUAUAC